UACGUAGGGUGCAAGCGUUGUCCGGAAUUAUUGGGCGUAAAGAGCUCGUAGGCGGUUUGUCGCGUCGGCUGUGAAAACCUGGGGCUCAACCCCGGGCCUGCAGCCGAUACGGGCAGGCUAGAGUUCGGUAGGGGAGACUGGAAUUCCUGGUGUAGCGGUGAAAUGCGCAGAUAUCAGGAGGAACACCGGUGGCGAAGGCGGGUCUCUGGGCCGAUACUGACGCUGAGGAGCGAAAGCGUGGGGAGCGAACAGG
rnacentral:rRNA from 1 species